UGGCGGUGAGGAGACGGUGACUAUGCGGAGUUACGGUGAUGGCUGUAUACGCUAUUCUGAGCCAGCA